AUGAACGCUGGCGGCGUGCUUAACACAUGCACGUCGAACGGAAAGGCCCAAGCUUGCUUGGGUACUCGAGUGGCGAACGGGUGAGUAACACGUGGGUGAUCUGCCCCGCACUUCGGGAUAAGCCUGGGAAACUGGGUCUAAUACCGGAUAGGACCACUUCUUGGAGGUUGUGGUGGAAAGUUUUUUCGGUGUGGGAUGAGCUCGCGGCCUAUCAGCUUGUUGGUGGGGUAAUGGCCUACCAAGGCGUCGACGGGUAGCCGGCCUGAGAGGGUGUACGGCCACAUUGGGACUGAGAUACGGCCCAGACUCCUACGGGAGGCAGCAGUGGGGAAUAUUGCACAAUGGGCGCAAGCCUGAUGCAGCGACGCCGCGUGGGGGAUGACGGCCUUCGGGUUGUAAACUCCUUUCGCUAGGGACGAAGCGCAAGUGACGGUACCUAGAGAAGAAGCACCGGCUAACUACGUG
rnacentral:rRNA from 1 species